AUUAGUGGGGGACAACAUCUCGAAAGGGAUGCUAAUACCGCAUACGUCCUACGGGAGAAAGCAGGGGACCUUCGGGCCUUGCGCUAAUAGAUGAGCCUAAGUCGGAUUAGCUAGUUGGUGGGGUAAAGGCCUACCAAGGCGACGAUCUGUAGCGGGUCUGAGAGGAUGAUCCGCCACACUGGGACUGAGACACGGCCCAGACUCCUACGGGAGGCAGCAGUGGGGAAUAUUGGACAAUGGGGGGAACCCGGAACCAGCCAUGCCGCGUGUGUGAAGAAGGCCUUUUGGUUGUAAAGCACUUUAAG
rnacentral:rRNA from 1 species